rnacentral:rRNA from 1 species
AGCGGACGCUGGCGGCAGGCUUAACACAUGCAAGUCGAGCGCCGUAGCAAUACGGAGCGGCAGACGGGUGAGUAACACGUGGGAACGUGCCUUCUGGUUCGGAAUAACUCAGGGAAACUUGAGCUAAUACCGGAUAAGCCCUUCGGGGGAAAGAUUUAUCGCCGGAAGAUCGGCCCGCGUAAGAUUAGCUAGUUGGUGAGGUAAUGGCUCACCAAGGCUACGAUCUUUGGCUGGUCUGAGAGGAUGAUCAGCCACACUGGGACUGAGACACGGCCCAGACUCCUACGGGAGGCAGCAGUGGGGAAUAUUGGACAAUGGACGCAAGCCUGAUCCAGCCAUGCCGCGUGAGUGAUGAAGGCCUUAGGGUUGUAAAGCUCUUUUAGCAGGGACGAUAAUGACGGUACCUGCAGAAAAAGCCCCGGCCAACUUCGUGCCAGCCGCCGCCGUAA